AGCGAACGUUUGCGGCGGGCUUAACACAUGCAAGUCGAACGAGAAUCCCUUCGGGGAGGAAAGUGGUGCACGGGUGCGUAACACGUGGAUAACCAACCCAUUGGUUUGGGACAACACCGGGAAACUGGUGCUAAUACCAGAUGUGUCGCAGCUGUCUUCAGGCGGUUGCGAGAAAGGCCCGCAAGGGUCGCCAACGGACGGGUCCGCGUCCCAUCAGCUAGUUGGUGAGGUAAUGGCUCACCAAGGCAAAGACGGGUAGCUGGUCUGAGAGGAUGAUCAGCCACACUGGAACUGAGACACUGGCCAGACACCUACGGGUGGCUGCAGUCGAGAAUCUUCGGCAAUGGGCGCAAGCCUGACCGAGCGACGCCGCGUGCGGGAUGAAGGUCUUCGGAUUGUAAAGCUCUUUCGGCCGGGAAGAAAUCGCACAGGUUAAUACCCUGUGUGGAUGACGGUACCGGAAUAAGAAGCACCGGCUAACUACGUGCCAGCAGCCGCGGUAAAG
rnacentral:rRNA from 1 species